rnacentral:rRNA from 1 species
AGUCAAGUAAUUAAGUGCAUGUGGUGGAUGCCUUGGCAGUCAGAGGCGAUGAAAGACGUGAUAGCCUGCGAAAAGCUCCGGGGAGGCGGCAAAUAUCCUUUGAUCCGGAGAUGUCUGAAUGGGGGAACCCACCUACUUUAAGGUAGGUAUUGCAACAUGAAUACAUAGUGUUGCAAGGCGAACGAGGGGAAGUGAAACAUCUCAGUACCCUUAGGAAAAGAAAUCAAUUGAGAUUCCCUCAGUAGCGGCGAGCGAACGGGGAUCAGCCCAUUAAGUUAUGUGUGUUUUAGUGGAACGCUCUGGGAAGUGCGAACGUAGAGGGUGAUAUUCCCGUACACGAAAGGGCACACAUAAUGAUGACGAGUAGGGCGAGGCACGUGAAACCUUGUCUGAAUAUGGGGGGACCAUCCUCCAAGGCUAAAUACUCCUGACUGACCGAUAGUGAACCAGUACCGUGAGGGAAAGGCGAAAAGAACCCCUGUGAGGGGAGUGAAAUAGAUCCUGAAACCGCAUGCAUACAAGCAGUGGGAGCACCUUCGUGGUGUGACUGCGUACCUUUUGUAUAAUGGGUCAGCGACUUAUAUUCAGUAGCGAGGUUAACCGUAUAGGGGAGCCGUAGAGAAAUCGAGUCUUAAUAGGGCGUUUAGUUGCUGGGUAUAGACCCGAAACCAGGCGAUCUAUCCAUGAGCAGGUUGAAGGUUGGGUAACACUAACUGGAGGACCGAACCCACUGUCGUUGAAAAGCCAGGGGAUGACUUGUGGAUAGGGGUGAAAGGCUAAUCAAGCCUGGUGAUAGCUGGUUCUCCCCGAAAGCUAUUUAGGUAGCGCCUCGGACGAAUACCAUAGGGGGUAGAGCACUGUUUCGGCUAGGGGGUCAUCCCGACUUACCAAACCGAUGCAAACUCCGAAUACCUAUGAGUACUAUCCGGGAGACAGACUGCGGGUGCUAACGUCCGUAGUCAAGAGGAAAACAAUCCAGACCGCCAGCUAAGGCCCCAAAAUCAUAGUUAAGUGGGAAACGAUGUGGGAAGGCAUAGACAGCUAGGAGGUUGGCUUAGAAGCAGCCACCCUUUAAAGAAAGCGUAAUAGCUCACUAGUCGAGUCGGCCUGCGCGGAAGAUGUAACGGGGCUAAAACUAUGUGCCGAAGCUGCGGAUGUAUACUUUGUAUACGUGGUAGGGGAGCGUUCUGUAAGCCGAUGAAGGUGUGUUGAGAAGCAUGCUGGAGGUAUCAGAAGUGCGAAUGCUGACGUGAGUAACGACAAAACGGGUGAAAAACCCGUUCGCCGAAAGACCAAGGGUUCCAGUCCAACGUUAAUCGGGGCUGGGUGAGUCGACCCCUAAGGCGAGGCCGAAAGGCGUAGUCGAUGGGAAAAUGGUUAAUAUUCCAUUACUUCUGUGUAAUGCGAUGAGAGGACGGAGAAGGCUAAAUCAGCCUGGCGUUGGUUGUCCAGGUGAAAGGAUGUAGGCAUGUAUCUUAGGCAAAUCCGGGGUACUCUAUGCUGAGAUCUGAUAGCAAGCUGUACUUGUACAGCGAAGUGGUUGAUGCCAUGCUUCCAGGAAAAGUCUCUAAGCUUCAGUUACACAGGAAUCGUACCCGAAACCGACACAGGUGGUCAGGUCGAGUAGACCAAGGCGCUUGAGAGAACUCUGCUGAAGGAACUAGGCAAAAUGGUACCGUAACUUCGGGAGAAGGUACGCUGUUGUUGGUGAUGGAACUCGCUUCCUGAGCUGACGACAGCCGCAGAAACCAGGCCGCUGCAACUGUUUAUUAAAAACAUAGCACUCUGCAAACACGAAAGUGGACGUAUAGGGUGUGAUGCCUGCCCGGUGCUGGAAGGUUAAUUGAUGGGGUUAGCGUAAGCGAAGCUCUUGAUCGAAGCCCCAGUAAACGGCGGCCGUAACUAUAACGGUCCUAAGGUAAGCGAAAUUCCUUGUCGGGUAAGUUCCGACCUGCACGAAUGGCAUAAUGAUGGCGGCGCUGUCUCCAGCAGAGGCUCAGUGAAAUCGAAAUCGCUGUGAAGAUGCAGUGUACCCGCGGCUAGACGGAAAGACCCCCGUGAACCUUUACUGCAGCUUGACACUGAACUUUGACCUUACUUGUGUAGGAUAGGUGGGAGGCUUUGAAGCUGGAACGCUAGUUCCAGUGGAGCCGUCCUUGAAAUACCACCCUGGUAAUGUUGAGGUUCUAACUCUGUCCCGUGAUCCGGGACGAGGACCGUGUCUGGUGGGUAGUUUGACUGGGGCGGUCUCCUCCUAAAGAGUAACGGAGGAGUACGAAGGUGCGCUCAGCGUGGUCGGAAAUCACGCGUAGAGUAUAAAGGCAAAAGCGCGCUUAACUGCGAGACCCACAAGUCGAGCAGGUACGAAAGUAGGUCUUAGUGAUCCGGUGGUUCUGUAUGGAAGGGCCAUCGCUCAACGGAUAAAAGGUACUCUGGGGAUAACAGGCUGAUACCGCCCAAGAGUUCAUAUCGACGGCGGUGUUUGGCACCUCGAUGUCGGCUCAUCUCAUCCUGGGGCUGAAGCAGGUCCCAAGGGUAUGGCUGUUCGCCAUUUAAAGAGGUACGCGAGCUGGGUUUAGAACGUCGUGAGACAGUUCGGUCCCUAUCUACCGUGGGCGCUGGAAAUUUGAGAGGAUCUGCUCCUAGUACGAGAGG